CUGAAGUAGCAAUGCUAAGUCUAAACAUGGUUGUGGGUUUCACUGAAAGUGGUGAACUUCUGCUGUUUGCAUCAUUUUGACUGUCCUCCCACAUUUAGCUGACCUGCCAUGACAAAACUGAAACACUGUUCACACGGCAUAAGAUUAAUGAGGAUAAGGACUCUGAAAGUAUGGUUUUGGAUAAUACUUCUUCAUCAGAACCAAUGUUGGUAGAAAUACACUAUUAAAAAUAAUUUAUUAAACAAUUUAUUUGUGUCUUUAUUGAUUACAUCAACAAGAACAACAAGUGUUAUUGUGGAAGAAAUGAGCCAAGCACUGAACGGCAUAGUUCCCAGCUGCAGUACGGUAGAGAUGCUGGCCUCAGUUUAUUAAAUACUGAUAUCAUAUAGGUGGAAUAUUACUCUGGGUGGUGUUGAAUAGCAGUCAACAGUUGUAGCAAUGUUCCAAGGGAGUCAUAAAGUGGAUUAUAUCGGUGGGUCGACCAGCCUGUUGAUACUGCUACUGCAAAAA